GACGAACGCUGGCGGCGUGCUUAACACAUGCAAGUCGAACGGAAAGGCCCUGCUUUUGUGGGGUGCUCGAGUGGCGAGCGGGUGAGUAACACGUGAGUAACCUGCCCUUGACUUUGGGAUAACUUCAGGAAACUGGGGCUAAUACCGGAUAGGAGCUCCUGCUGCAUGGUGGGGGUUGGAAAGUUUCGGCGGUUGGGGAUGGACUCGCGGCUUAUCAGCUUGUUGGUGGGGUAGUGGCUUACCAAGGCUUUGACGGGUAGCCGGCCUGAGAGGGUGACCGGCCACAUUGGGACUGAGAUACGGCCCAGACUCCUACGGGAGGCAGCAGUGGGGAAUAUUGCACAAUGGGCGGAAGCCUGAUGCAGCAACGCCGCGUGCGGGAUGACGGCCUUCGGGUUGUAAACCGCUUUCGCCUGUGACGAAGCGUGAGUGGCGGUAAUGGGUAAAGAAGCACCGGCUAACUACGUG
rnacentral:rRNA from 1 species